AAGUACCAGCACUGCAACCGCGCGCUUGAUAAGGCCAAGCCUAACAGGAAGGACGCUGCAAUGAAAGCGAAGAAGGAAGCCGAGGAGGCAUUCGAGGCGUGCAGCGACGUCGCUCGACACGAGAUCAAGCGUCUGCACCGAGUGAGAUGUGCCGAGAUGACGGACAUCAUAACGAGCUUCGGCAAGUUACAGCUCGACUCAGCCGUGCGUCAACACGCUUUACUAUCUGCCGCACUUAAUAGCCUUAAUGCUGUCAUCAAAGUUUAGCUGUGGCAUCACAAGGAUGGUCGCCUCAUUUGCAAUCAUAGCUAAAAAAAAUUCUUUGAAACAUUUCUUGAGCGAUGAAAAUCGUGUUGUGCAGCAUUUGCUUUAGAAAAUGUACGUGACAUGAACUUUUUGCUAUCAACACUAAAUGUAAAAGACUUUGCCAUAGAAAGAAUAAAGUUUAAACGUACGACUAGGAGAUCAUGAAGCAUCACAAUUGGUAUCCCUUUUUUAU
rnacentral:lncRNA from 1 species